UGCCAGCAGCCGCGGUAAUACGGAGGGGGCUAGCGUUGUUCGGAAUUACUGGGCGUAAAGAGCAUGUAGGCGGACUGUUAAGUCUGAUGUGCAAGCCCGGGGCUCAACCCCGGAAGUGCAUUGGAUACUGGCAGUCUUGAGUAUGGGAGAGGAAAGUGGAAUUCCGAGUGUAGGAGUGAAAUCCGUAGGUAUUCGGAGGAACACCAGUGGCGAAGGCGGCUUUCUGGACCAAUACUGACGCUUAGAUGCGGAAGCGUGGGGAGGAAACAGGAUUAGAUA
rnacentral:rRNA from 1 species